AGAAGAGAUCAAAAGACUAACACAAGUGAGCAUCGUAUAACAUGUCUAUACAUCACGCCAGAAAGCCCAACACCUGGCUGUGUUGGAAAGGCUGAGAGGACCCUGCGAUGACCAAGGCCAUUUGAAAUGCCCUGGUAUGAGAGGCAGAGGCAUCCCUGAGAAGUUCCACAGUGGUGGGGUCCUCUGUAAUCAGGUCCGAUGACUCAAAGGAGAAAGCAUGUAGCUCCAGGAGCUUCUGGCAGCCACCUGGCUUCUCUGAAGGAAGCCUAUCGGAGGACAAAGCCAGCAAAUGACACUCAGCGCAGGACCUUCUCAACAUCACAUCAUCACCAAGAGAAGGACAAAUCAGAAGCCAAUUCAUUGAGUAGCGAUGUCAGUCUUCCCUAAACAAUUCUGAAGGAGCAGCAAAAGAGUUCCAUGGCACAAAUAGAGCAAGACAUACUCUUUGCUCUUCUGUCCCCUAAUUCAGUGACCAUUGCCAUUCUCCUCUCCCCCCCCCCACUUUCUCUCCACUGGCCCAGCUCUCCCGUACACCCUACCCCUCACCCUGGGCUGCGAAACAGAAGCCUGACAGGUGCCAGGGCAAGUCAGAGCCUCAGAAGGCGGAGUGGACAGGAGGAUAAGGAAUGUCAAUAAGUUUAGAUUUCAUCCUGGUCUCUGCCUCACUCUUUACAAAGGAUCCUCCUCAAAGAGGGCAUCUUUGCAACCUCCCCAUUUACUUUAUGGAAAAGUACAAAGAAGAACCAAUCAUGGAUUUCUUUGAUCAUCCCCUCUUGCAAACAUCAGCCAGAAUCCAGUCCUUUGUCAUGAGAUCCCCCAAGUUCAAGGCAGAGUGGGACAGUGAUACACACGAGGUCAGGGGCUACAUUGUGCCCCGGUUGGCCCAAGGACACAGUGAGUCAAGUGAUCGCCAUGAUCCCUGAAGACACAGGUCAGGAGGAGGGGCUCUGGAGGUGAGCCAUAUGGAUUCAAACCUGGCUCUGUCAUCUUUGCUGUGUGACCUUGGACAAGUUAUUGACCUAUCAAUAGGUCAAUAGUUUCCUUGCCUGUGAGACAAUGAUAAUAGCUAUCUGGCUGGUGUGAGAAUUAACAAGUUAAUGCACAUAAAUGGCUUAGAACAGUUCCUGGCACACAGUGAAUCCUCAGUCAACAUUAACCGUAAUUUGUGAAGAUUCUGGUCUGUGGCUCUUGGGUAUUGACUCAGGGAGGCAGCUAGUAGGUGGGGAGCAAGGUGACCCCAUAAACUAGUACUAAAAUGAGAUCUGAGGUUGAUAUACCAUCUUCCACUGUUUAAGCACUUUUGGGUGCCCUCAAAAGUAUCCUGAGACAAGGGUUGGGUGCAGGUAGUUUAUUUAGGGGUGUCAGGAAACAGGGAGGGGGGUGAUGGAGCAGGGAAGAUGGAGAAGCCUAUAUAAGCAUUAUCAAAGUGGGUAAUGGGAAUUCAACUCGUCCAGGACCUUCUGAGAAGUAUGUGGGAGGCCUCUGUACUGAACUGAAUAGUGUUCCCCCAAAACUCAUGUUCACCCAUAACCUCAGAAUAUGACCUUAGUUGGAAGUAGAUCUUUGCAUAUGUAAUUGCUUCAGUUAAGAUGAGGUCAUACUGGAGUGGGGGGGGGGGGCGCUAAAUCCAGUGACUAGUGUCCUUUUAGAAAGGUUAUGUAAAAAGCACAUGGAGAGAAGAAUGUGCCACGUGAAGACAGAGGCAGAGAUUGGAGAGUUGCAUCUAGAAGCCCAGAAACACUAAGGACUUCGGGAAGCCACCAGAAGGGAGAGAGGCAUGGGAACACUCCUCCCUCAGAACCUCCAAGAGAGAAUCAACCCCGCCAACACCUCGAUCUUGAACUUCUGGCCUCUAGAACUACAGGGCACUAAUUUUCUAUUGUGUUAAGCCCCUCAGUUUAUGGAAAUUCAUUCUGGCAACCACAGGAAACUAAUACAGCCUCCCAUAGCUGCCCGGCCACAGGGCAGGAGCAAGGCAUCUCUGCCCAAGCCUGCAGUGCCCCCCUGGUUGAGUGGGGUUGACCAUUUUCCUGCACUUCAGGGAUAUACUUGCAAAAGGGCCAGGGGGGUGCCAAGAUACUGGAAAAGUCCCCGGCACAGAUGCGGAAGGAUCCCCAGAGCUGACUGGAGCAGGAAUGCCUCAGAGCGGGGGUGAAUCUGAGCUGGCAGAGAACUGGGGGCUGUGGGUCAAAAUCAGAGGGGUCCAAGGGGAUGUGACGCAAGUCCCAGAGAUGUCUGCUACAGUCACCACCAUGGCCAGGGGGGUGUGGGGGGCUGUCCCUCCAUGUUUACUCACACUUCCUGCUGGGAGUUUCCCAAGAUUGCCCAGGGUUACUUUCAUUCAUUCAUUAAUUCAUUUAUUCAUUCAUUCAUCCGGCACACACUUUCUAAGCUCCCGCUCUGGAUUAGGUCCAGGAAGACACCAA